ACGUAGACGCUAUUCCCUAAGAUUAACCCAUGCAUGUUUUUGACAUUUGAAAAAUGGACUGCUCAGUAAUACUCACUUUAUUUUAUGUAAAUUUUUGAUUAAUUAACUACGUUAAAGUGUAGAUAAGAUGUUUACAGUAAGAGUGAGACCUAUCAGCUAGUUGUUAAGGUAAUGGCUUAACAAGGCUGUGACGGGUAACGGUAUUACUUUGUAAUAUUCCGGAGAAGGAGCCUGAGAGACGGCUACUAAGUCUAAGGAUUGCAGCAGGGGCGAAACUUGACCUAUGGAUUUUAUCUGAGGCAGUUAUGGGAAGUAAUAUUAUAUUGUUUCAUAUUUUAAAAGUAUAUGAGGUGAUUAAUUGGAGGGCAAAUCAAGUGCCAGCAGCCGCGGUAAUACUUGUUCCAAGAGUGUGUAUGAUGAUUGAUGCAGUUAAAAAGUCCGUAGUUUAUUUAUUUAAGAAGCAAUAUGAGGUGUACUGUAUAGUUGGGAGAAAGAUGAAAUGUGACGACCCUGACUGGACGAACAGAAGCGAAAGCUGUACACUUGUAUGUAUUUUUUGAACAAGGACGUAAGCUGGAGGAGCGAAGAUGAUUAGAUACCAUUGUAGUUCCAGCAGUAAACUAUGCCGACGAUGUGAUAUGGAAAAUAUUAAUUUGUAUUACAUAAUAGAAAUUUGAGUUUUUUGGCUCUGGGGAUAGUAUGAUCGCAAGAUUGAAAAUUAAAGAAAUUGACGGAAGAAUACCACAAGGAGUGGAUUGUGCGGCUUAAUUUGACUCAACGCGAGGUAACUUACCAAUAUUUUAUUAUUUUGAGAGAACGGUUUUUUGUUUGAGAAUGAUAAUAGUGGUGCAUGGCCGUUUUCAAUGGAUGCUGUGAAGUUUUGAUUAAUUUCAACAAGACGUGAGACCCUUAUUUUUUUAUUAAAGACAGACACAAUCAGUGUAGGAAGGAAAGGAUUAAAACAGGUCCGUUAUGCCCUCUGACAUUUUGGGCUGCACGCGCAAUACAAUAGAUAUAUAAUCUUUAUGGGAUAAUAUUUUGUAAGAGAUAUUUGAACUUGGAAUUGCUAGUAAAUUUUAUUAAAUAAGUAGAAUUGAAUGUGUCCCUGUUCUU
rnacentral:rRNA from 1 species